AUGGGUAGCAGCCGCCGGCGGGGCGACCGCCAGCUCCUGCACCGCCUCCUCGCGCUCUCGUCGCUGCUCCUGCUCGCCUCCGGGGAGGUCAUCUUCGAGGAGCGAUUCGAAGAUGGUUGGGAGACUCGGUGGGUGAAAUCCGAUUGGAAAAGGAGCGAAGGGAAAGCCGGUACAUUCAAGCACACGGCAGGAAAAUAUUCCGGAGAUCCUGAUGACAAAGGCAUUCAAACAACAAUAGAUGCUAGGCAUUUUGCUAUCUCAGCCAAGAUACCGGAGUUCAGUAACAAGGGCCGAACAUUGGUGGUCCAGUAUUCCAUAAAGUUUGAGCAGGAAAUUGAAUGUGGUGGCGGCUAUAUUAAGCUAAUGUCUGGUUAUGUCAACCAGAAGAAAUAUAGCGGAGACACUCCAUACAGCUUGAUGUUUGGGCCAGAUAUAUGUGGGACUCAAACAAAGAAGCUGCAUCUUAUACUCUCUUACCAGGGGCAGAACUACCCUAUCAAGAAAGAUCUACAAUGCGAAACCGACAGGCUGACGCAUGUUUACACAUUCAUUCUUAGGCCCGACGCAUCUUAUAGUUUACUUGUUGAUAACCGUGAAAGAGAAUCUGGGAGCAUGUACACUGAUUGGGACAUCUUGCCUCCUCGUAAAAUUAAGGAUGUUGGUGCCAAAAAGCCUAAGGAUUGGGAUGACAGAGAGUACAUUGAGGAUCCAGAUGCGGUUAAACCUGAGGGAUAUGAUUCUAUUCCAAGAGAGAUUCCUGACCCAAAGGAUAAAAAGCCCGACACAUGGGACGAUGAUGAUGAUGGCAUAUGGAAACCUAGAAGGAUACCGAAUCCAGCAUACAAAGGACAGUGGAAGCGCAAGAAAAUUAAGAACCCUAACUACAAGGGUAAAUGGAAGAUCCCAUGGAUUGAUAAUCCAGAGUUUGAGGAUGAUCCAGAUUUAUAUGUACUGAAACCUCUGAAGUAUAUUGGAAUUGAAGUUUGGCAGGUAAAAGCCGGCUCAGUAUUUGACAACAUUCUCAUUUGCGAUGACCCGGAAUAUGCAAAACAGGUUGCCGAUGAAACAUGGGGUGCAAAUAAGGAGGCUGAAAAGGAGGCUUUUGAAGAAGCUGAAAAGGAGAGGAAAGCUAGAGAAGAUAAGGAAGCUCAACAAGCAAGGGAGGAAGGAGAGCGACGGAGGAGAGAGAGGGGUGAUCGACACCGUGGUAGGGACCAUUACAAGGACAGAUACAAAAGACGCAACAGAGAUCACUGGGAUGACUACCAUGAUGAGCUUUGA
rnacentral:rRNA from 1 species